UUUCUUUUCUCACCUAAACGCACGCACCCUCUCUUCUUUCUUUCCUUCUUUUUUUUCUUCUCCUCUCUUGCCCUUCGUCCCCCACACAGUAGCUCGCCUCUUCUCUUUCCCUUCCCUUUCUUCUUCCUCUUCUCUCACUCGCACUCACGCACACAUAGCAACCCAUGAGAGAGCCCGAAGUGCAGAAAUGCCGAGAGAGAGAACAGAUCGUGAGAGAGAGAUUUUGAAAUGGAAGCUGUCCAGCCAUGGGUAGAAGAAGAAAAGAUGGGGUUUUUGGCCAUGGACGUCCGGUGAGAUGAUGUUUCUUUGGCUGCAGGUACUUCGGUAUAGUCAAUGGGUCGGUAGCAAUGUGCUUGGGAUAUUAUGACUGAAGCUCGCCGCGACAGUUGUAAUUGUCGGACCAUGGGUUGUCCACUAUUUUAUAGGUUUGGUAUGGCUUGUGACGUUUGUGUCACUUAUUCUUUGUUAAGCCAUUAUUGUUAUAGUGUUAAUAAGACUCAAACAGAUAUAUGUUAAAUGGCUCUUUGUUGUAAUUAACUUGUGAUAGAUGUAUAAGUUGUAAUUUCUGCUAUUCAGAUUUAUGUUUUCCGCUGCA